AUACGUACGCGCGCGCUCGAGAGUACGUACAACUCAGCUGCUGCCGCUGUGCCGGCGUUAACUCGGUAUAUUGCGUAGCGCCGAUUGUCGCGCGCGCACACACCGCCCGCAACGGUCGCUCGACUUACACGCAACCGCCGCGCCGUCAGCUCGAUACAGUGCUCAAGCAGUGCGCGCGCGUCGCUGAUAUACGUAUACCUACUACCGUACCACGGCGGUCGUUUCUCGCGCUGUCACCGCCGCGGCGCAAACCGACGGUCACCUGCACCGUCCCCGGGUAGCUCGACGACAGCCGACGACCAUCCCGCCGUCCACGGCUCGACGCUAUCGCGGAUCUCUGUCCGCAGCCGCCGAUUCAUAUCUCGCACCCCCGUCCCCCGCCCGCACACCAACCCGCACGAGAGAUCGCGACACGGUAUAGUCCGACCUGUACAUGACCGAUGAGAUCGCGGACGACGAAGACGACGACGACAGGUCCGGUGCGCAACAGAUCGAGAAAAGAAAUCAAAUCACACAACACGGGUGCAAAGUCGUGAAAAAGUAAAAUCAUAUAGAUGACUUGAUGUGCUUAAGCUGGAUUCAAGCAUGCACCGCCAUACACCUGCUGUGGAGUGUGCUGUACAUAAGCGUUGGCGCUGUUCAAAUAGUAGCAGGCAUAUUUUUCCUGUUCACAAUACCUGUUCUCAGAAUAGGAUCAAACAUAUGGACAGGGUCUUGGAACGUGUUCUUUGGUGUAGGAGGAGCAGUUUUCUCGUGUGUAGGUGAUUGGACUACGGCCAAACAACGAGGCCUUUUAUGCCUCACUGUGUCUAUACUGAUCAUGAACAUCGUAAAUUUAAUCAUAUUAGAAAUCGGAGAAUGGAGAUACCUAACACCUGAAUCGGUCAAAGAUAGCAUGUCAAGAGAAGGAUUGGAAACGUUAAUUUUAUAUGCUCGUUACACUACCAGUAUAAGCACAUUAGUAGCCAUAAUCGGCGCAUUUUUCGAUUCGCAGAUAACGUUUUGUUGUAUGCUACGUGUGGAUAAAACACAACAAAAUACAGAGCCAGAUAACAAUUCAGAUGUCGAUUACAUUAUGCCAAGGGUUAAAUCGGAGUGCGUGUUGCGGUCGAAUAGUACCGCCAGGAAAACGUCGGACAACAACUACGGCCGUUCCUGGGUGUUCGAGGCGGACGGCACGGCGGGCCCGGGUGGCUGUCCCCCCACGUACGCGUCCACAGAAUCGCUGAGCGCGCUCGACCACCGUCUACCGGCGACGGCGGCGGUGACGGCAGGCGCGGCCGUGUGCAGCCGGACGGUGACGCUGAAGCGCAGGGCCAAGCCGGUGACACCGGUGGUGAUCGUCGAGAUGGACGGCACAGGCAGCCGGCCCACGCAGCUGAUGACCAGUUUCUCGCGGACACCAUCGCCGGUUGGACUUUCGGAGAGCUCGUCUCAGGACUCGGUGUCCGCGGUCGCCGUGGCCAACGCGCCAAUUUACGAGUGCCUGGAGAAGCUGACCGAACCGUCCGUGUACAGGUCCCGCUUGAACACCGCCCUGUCGGCCAGCAUCCAGGAGGCCAUCGCGUCCGGUGACCGGCCGCCCCGGAGCCUGUCGCCCAGGCCGCCGCCCGCCGCCGAGCCCGUCCAGUACGCGUCACUGAUGGAGGAGUUACAGAAGACCAUCGGAAACAGACUCUCCAAACACGUUGAAUCGCCCGAAGAGAGAUUCGAUGCAGAUUUGGACGACGCACUACAAGACAUACCAAGAUUUAGAAUCUCCAAAUGGCCACAGCAAUGACCGGACGGAUGACAGUAGCGAUAGUGACGCAGCCAGCAUGAAGACCACGAAAACAGUUAUUUUGAAUGCAAAUCGAAGAAAAAGUGUGGAAACAAAUUAACGGUGCUUCGGAGACCGAUUCCCCUUGCUGACCGACUGAUGAAUUGUUUAUUUGGUUAUUUAAUUGAAUUUAUAAUACUAUUAUUAGGUAUAAUUUUCUAUAUUGUAUACAAAUUUUUAUUUUGUGUUAUUGAACCUAUUUAAAACGGUGGUAUACAAGAAAUCCUUCUUAAACUAUAUGUUAAAUGUUAUACCUACCUAUAUCCGAUAUAUUAUUAUAUAAUAAAAAUUACAUAAUAUAUUAUAUUUAUCAUAUCUUUCAAACAUCAUUCCUAUUAAAAAAAAAAAAAAACAACAACAAUUUUAAAUUGAAAAUAAUAUUUUACUAUUAUUUAACAUAAAAAACGAUAUCAUGUUAUUUAUACAAUGUACGAUUAUCGUUAAAAUAUUUUCUCUCUAGGUUAUUAUAAUGUAUAUCUCUAUUAUACAUAUUAUAUACAUGAAUUAUUAUUUAUAAAAUAUCUAUAAAUGUUGUUCAAGUUCGAAAAGUUGUGUUCGCAAAAAAUAUAUAUACAAAAAAGACUAGUAGACUAAAUAGUUUUAUUCUCCGUUAGACUAAACUUGCGAUUUAUCAUUAAUAUUUUAUCUCGUGUUUAUGUAUAGUAUUAUAUAUAUAUUAUUAUGAAUUUGUUAUUUAUUUUUGACUGUGAUUUUGAUGUUAAUCAAUAUGUCCAUAAUAUAUAUAUAGUAUAUAUAUAUUAUAUACAUACUAUGAUUGAUAUACCUAUACAAUAUACAUUAUACAUAUUGUUAGUAAAUAGAUAUUUAUAAAAAAUAAUUUUUAAAUGUUCAAAAUAUUUAUACAUAGAUAACAUGUGGAAUGUAUAAAUUCAAUUUAUUAUAAAUAUGUAGAACAAACAAUAGCUAAUCAUAAAAAUAUAUUAUAUUAUCUAUUAUAA